rnacentral:rRNA from 1 species
UUAGAUACCCUGGUAGUCCACGCCGUAAACGGUGGGUACUAGGUGUGGGUUUCCUUCCUUGGGAUCCGUGCCGUAGCUAACGCAUUAAGUACCCCGCCUGGGGAGUACGGCCGCAAGGCUAAAACUCAAAGAAAUUGACGGGGGCCCGCACAAGCGGCGGAGCAUGUGGAUUAAUUCGAUGCAACGCGAAGAACCUUACCUGGGUUUGACAUGCACAGGACGUGCCUAGAGAUAGGUAUUCCCUUGUGGCCUGUGUGCAGGUGGUGCAUGGCUGUCGUCAGCUCGUGUCGUGAGAUGUUGGGUUAAGUCCCGCAACGAGCGCAACCCUCGUCCUAUGUUGCCAGCGGGUUAUGCCGGGGACUCGUAGGAGACUGCCGGGGUCAACUCGGAGGAAGGUGGGGAUGACGUCAAGUCAUCAUGCCCCUUAUGUCCAGGGCUUCACACAUGCUACAAUGGCCGGUACAAAGGGCUGCGAUGCCGCGAGGUGGAGCGAAUCCUUUAAAGCCGGUCUCAGUUCGGAUUGGGGUCUGCAACUCGACCCCAUGAAGUCGGAGUCGCUAGUAAUCGCAGAUCAGCAACGCUGCGGUGAAUACGUUCCCGGGCCUUGUACACACCCCCCUCACUCAUGAAAGUCGGUAACACCCG